rnacentral:rRNA from 1 species
CCCACGCCGAAAGACCAAGGGUUCCUGCGCAACGUUAAUCGACGCAGGGUUAGUCGGUUCCUAAGGCGAGGCUGAAAAGCGUAGUCGAUGGGAAACAGGUUAAUAUUCCUGUACUUCUGGUUACUGCGAUGGAGGGACGGAGAAGGCUAGGCCAGCUUGGCGUUGGUUGUCCAAGUUUAAGGUGGUAGGCUGAAAUCUUAGGUAAAUCCGGGGUUUCAAGGCCGAGAGCUGAUGACGAGUCGUCUUUUAGAUGACGAAGUGGUUGAUGCCAUGCUUCCAAGAAAAGCUUCUAAGCUUCAGGUAACCAGGAACCGUACCCCAAACCGACACAGGUGGUCGGGUAGAGAAUACCAAGGCGCUUGAGAGAACUCGGGUGAAGGAACUAGGCAAAAUGGCACCGUAACUUCGGGAGAAGGUGCGCCGGCUAGGGUGAAGGAUUUACUCCGUAAGCUCUGGCUGGUCGAAGAUACCAGGCCGCUGCGACUGUUUAUUAAAAACACAGCACUCUGCAAACACGAAAGUGGACGUAUAGGGUGUGACGCCUGCCCGGUGCCGGAAGGUUAAUUGAUGGGGUUAGCGCAAGCGAAGCUCUUGAUCGAAGCCCCGGUAAACGGCGGCCGUAACUAUAACGGUCCUAAGGUAGCGAAAUUCCUUGUCGGGUAAGUUCCGACCUGCACGAAUGGCGUAACGAUGGCGGCGCUGUCUCCACCCGAGACUCAGUGAAAUUGAAAUCGCUGUGAAGAUGCAGUGUAUCCGCGGCUAGACGGAAAGACCCCGUGAACCUUUACUGUAGCUUUGCACUGGACUUUGAGCCUGCUUGUGUAGGAUAGGUGGGAGGCUUUGAAGCGUGGACGCCAGUUCGCGUGGAGCCAUCCUUGAAAUACCACCCUGGCAUGCUUGAGGUUCUAACUCUGGUCCGUGAUCCGGAUCGAGGACAGUGUAUGGUGGGCAGUUUGACUGGGGCGGUCUCCUCCUAAAGAGUAACGGAGGAGUACGAAGGUGCGCUCAGACCGGUCGGAAAUCGGUCGCAGAGUAUAAAGGCAAAAGCGCGCUUGACUGCGAGACAGACACGUCGAGCAGGUACGAAAGUAGGUCUUAGUGAUCCGGUGGUUCUGUAUGGAAGGGCCAUCGCUCAACGGAUAAAAGGUACUCCGGGGAUAACAGGCUGAUACCGCCCAAGAGUUCAUAUCGACGGCGGUGUUUGGCACCUCGAUGUCGGCUCAUCACAUCCUGGGGCUGAAGCCGGUCCCAAGGGUAUGGCUGUUCGCCAUUUAAAGUGGUACGCGAGCUGGGUUUAGAACGUCGUGAGACAGUUCGGUCCCUAUCUGCCGUGGACGUUUGAGAUUUGAGAGGGGCUGCUCCUAGUACGAGAGGACCGGAGUGGACGAACCUCUGGUGUUCCGGUUGUCACGCCAGUGGCAUUGCCGGGUAGCUAUGUUCGGAAAAGAUAACCGCUGAAAGCAUCUAAGCGGGAAACUUGCCUCAAGAUGAGAUCUCACUGGGAACUUGAUUCCCCUGAAGGGCCGUCGAAGACUACGACGUUGAUAGGCUGGGUGUGUAAGCGUUGU